AGUUUGAGUUCAUGUAAAUUUGGGGCAGUGCCAUGAGAAUUUUGACGUUGUUUAAGAUUCCCUGGUGGCCUAAUUAAUGCCAACCCUGAGAAUUCUCCUGAGCCCAUGCGGGCAAGGGAGCUGGGCAACUCGGCAACAUGCGGGUGAGGGACACGGGACAGCAAAGGCAAGGCACAUCUGACGCACUCUCCCCCACAACCUGGAGAAGGUGGGUACCUUCAGCAGCAGCAGCAGCAGCAGCACCUCUGGCUACUUCCUCACCCCAUGCUGUCCCAGAACCUGAAACCUGAGAAAGGCCAAGCCAGAGAGCAUGGUGGAGCGGUCCCUGGUCCCCUUGCUCUUAUCCAAUGGAGUGGAGUCCAAUGUGCAUGGCUGGUCUGUGGGUCCUACAUUGGGGGUUUGUUUAUGGCUGGUCUGUGUAUGUCCCUGAAUCCCAGUGACCUCCAAGUGACAUACUGUCCCCUCCGUAGAACUUUAACCACAGAACCACAACGCAAGCUGAAAGUAAAACCUGGCGGACCCCUAGGCAAGUAUUUAAAAUCUGACAUCCCAAUUUUUGCAUCCGUAAAAUGGGAGGCCUGCUUACGAGAGUUAUGAAGUCUGAGAGUUAAUGAACACAAAGUGUUCUUUAAAUGUGACCAGACACAUGAUACAUUUAGAGUAUCGACUCCUUUUUUUGUCUGAUCCGGUUUCUCUAUAUAGUGCUGGCUGUCCUAGAACUCAUAGUGUAGACCAGGCUGGCCUUGAGCCUUCCAGCUUCUGCCUCCUGAGUGCUGGGAUCAAAGAUGCCCACCACCACUGUCCAGCACAAUGAUCCUCAUUAGUGAUUCCCACUGGAGCAGAGGUCGCUGCUCAGCAGGAACAUGCUAGCCUAGUGUGGUGAGGGCCUGGCUUCCAUGCAUGCACACACACACACACACACACACACACACACACCACAGAUGCAUAGACACAGACAGACAGGCAGACACACACAUACUUGUUCACUCACUACUCAAUUUCAAAUAAGGAAACGGAGUCUCAGAAAUGAGAUCAAUUAUAGCGCAGUAGCUAAUCCUGCUCUGGGAUAGGGUGGGGAGACUCACAGCCACUCUAAAGCCUGUGUAUAAUGGGUGUGGCUUUUCACAUGGUGGCUGAGGUUAAAUGAGGUUUUGAUGUGUAAACGUUUAGCACAGACUGAGCCACUGGAGAAGCUCAAUAAAUCUUAGUUAAAAAGGAAAACAAGGAGCUAGAAGUGGAAAAGAAACAGUAACCUCGGGCCUGCACCGCUCUUCCUCAUGCAGGCCAUACAGCUCCUUCUGAGGCAAUGCUAGCUCCCAGUGUGGGCAUCAGAGCCAAGUACUCUACCCAAGACCUGUGGGUGAGUGAGCAUCUCUGCAGGCCAGCAGCACCAGGGCCAUAAAACCCAGCUGAGGCACACAUGGUCUGGGUACCCUCACAUGCUGAGCUGAGGGAAGGCUGAGCUUUCCACGGAAGAGGAAGUACCGGCUGCUGUGCUCCGGAAGAAACCCUAUUACCCUCAUCUACGAUUCCUGGAAGUCCAACCACACAGGCUGGGUGUAUGCACCACUGCCCCAGAUAAGACCAGGUUCAGUGCCACAGGGCUGCAUACAAGAAAUGACUCUGGCCAGGAUGGUGGUGGUACACCCCUUUAAUCCCAAUACUAAGGAGGCAGAGGCGGGAGGAUCUGAAGGCUAGCCUGAUCUACAAAAUGGCUUCUAGGACAGCCAAGGCGACACCAAAAAAAACCCUGUCUUGAAAAACAACAGGGCUGGAGAGAUGGCUCAGCGGUUAUGGGCACUGACUGCUCUUCCAAAGGUCCUGAGUUCAAUUCCCAGCAACCACAUGGUGGCUCACAACCAUCUGUAAUGAGACCUGAUGCCCUCUUCUGGUGUGUCCGGACAGCUACAGUGUACUUAUAAAUAAAUCUUAAAAAAAAAAAAAAGAAAAAGAAAAACAAAACAAAGCAAAAAAAGAAAAGAAAAACCGAUUCUGAACAAGAAGUAAGGGACGGCUGUUAUAAUCAUGAACCCUGAUGAAAACUAUUCACAGCCAUUUAAAGGUCUUCUUCCAGAAUGAUUCCCACCAGGGAUCUGUCCCGCACACUGGGAGAGCAAAGUCAGGGGAGCCCUGGCAGAACCUAGCAGCUGACAUCCAGGGCCCCAGCCGUGUUCCAGAGAGAUCGUAUCAGAUUAGAUUGCAUGCAGCUUCACAAGGUAAAUAUAGCCAGGGGCAGGACUCUUUGCCCAAAAUAAACAGCUCCUAGUCAGCCAGCAAGCCUCUACCAACCCGGCUGUACAGGGCCUGACAGAACAGAAGGGUCAGACCACUGGCCCUAAAUCACACCAGCCUACAGAUCCUUGAAGGAGAUACUGAGCAUCUUAAGUCUGAAGUAGGGGCUAAAGAUGAUUGAUCCUGCUGGGCGGUGGUGGCACACGCCUGUAAUUCAAACACUCAGGAGGCAGAGACAGGUAGGUCUCCAGGUUCAAGGCCAGCCUGGUCUACAUAGUAAAUUCAGGCCAGCCUGGUGAGUUCCGGGACAGCCAGGGAGACACAAAGAAACCUUGUCUCAGAGGGGAAAAUAAAAAAAAAAAAAGAUUAUUGAUCCUGUGGAAGGCAAGGCCUAGCUGACCUCCUGGUCAGACAUGUGGCCCCCACUUGAAUAUCAACCACCUAUACUUUCCUGCUAGGCUCCAUGGACCCCCUGCACACCUGCAUCCUGGUAAUCCAGACACUUUUUGGAGAACUCCUCGCCCCUUGCCGUGCCCAAUUCCCAGAACCAUUACAGGGGGAAACAUAGCUCUCUUCUCCCCAGCUCUUCCUGUUCCCCCUUCUGAGACAGUCAACAGCUACAGCCUUGGGUAGACCCCUCAAGACUCAGUCACAUGGGGUUCAAUGGACUGUCUGGAUUUGCUAACUCCAUUCCAAAUGCAGACCAUCUAUCUAGUGAGAUAGAUCUGAAUCCAGCCUCAUGGUUUACAGACUCUCUUGACCACGGCAGUCCAGUACUCCAAAUGUUCCUAAAAAUAGAUGUGCACCCUUUUAUGAAACAAACAAAAGUUUCACUAAACACCACGUAUUCUUGAAGCCUGCCAAUGCGGUCUAUUCUUAUGAGCCUGCACUUGCUCCCCCUCCCCCUGCUUCAGUUUAAGUAUUAAAUUUUUUAUUGAGAAUUCCUGGGAAGGUGGUUAUCUCCUCCCCUUCUGAAGAGACAAGACUGUAGGAAAUCACUGGGAAACCAAACACUGACCCAACCCGCCCUGGGCCAAUAAGGGGAAGAAGCCACCAGCCCUCUUAAAGGACUGGUCUUCAGUCUUCCUUAAUCCAAGAGGGCAGGUGCAGGGGGAUCGCCACUUGGUACUUGGGUCAGGGUGAGGUGUGCCGAGCCUCUAGCUGGCUUCUCAAAGACUGGAGGAGAUGCCUUCACUUUUCUGGAGGUGGAGAUCCCGAUGUCUACACAUACUGUUUUGAGGCAGGGUCUACUGUGUAGCUCUGGCUGCCCUGGAACUCACUAUGUAGACCAGGCUGGCCUUGAACUCACAGAGAUCCACUCAUCUUUGCCUCCUGAGUGCUGGGAUAAAGGCGUGCAUCCCCACCGCCACAUUUAUUUCUGACCCUUAAUGAGUAAAGGUUUGAGCACUGUGGGGUCCCCGUCCGGACACCGAGACUCAUUUGGUGUUUCAACCCGUCUGUCUCCCUUCACACCUUUAAUUUAGUGACUUGUUUUUUUAAUCUUUACUUUCUUAUUUUAUGUGCAUCUUACCUGAACACGCCUAGUGGCCCCCGAGGUCAGAAGAGGAUGUUGCACCCUGAGAACGGGACAUAAUGGAUGGCUGUGAGCAGCCAUGUGGGUGCCGGGACUCGAAGCCAGGUCCCCUAUAAGAGCAUGGAGGGUUUCUCACCACCGAGCCAAGUCUCCAGCACCCGUUCUUAGUUGUUUUGGAGACAAGACCUGACAAUGUAGCUCAGGGAGGCUUCAAACUCCUGGUCUCCCAGUCUUGGCUUCCGGUGUGCAACCCUGGUGCUUUCCUUUUUUUCUGGUGCUGGGAUUCAAACCCGGGGCCUUGUGCAUGGUCUACAGCUGAGCUAAAUCCCCAAGCGUCCCUAGAACUGUUCUGUUGUGUCAAGCACGUUCAGGAGAACAAGACCUGGUUUUUUUUUUCUCUUUUUCGAGAGAGAGUCUUACGUUCGCAGACUGGCCCCAUGCUUACGGUGUAGCUAAGGGUGACCUUGAGCUUCUGAUCUUCUGCCUCAACCUCCCAAGAACUGGAAUGACAGAUUUAAACCCCAAUGCCCGCCUUUUUUUUUUUUUUUUUUUUUUUUUUGGCAGGGAGGGCUUUUUCAAGACAAGACUUUUCUGUGUAGCCCUGGCUGUCCUGGAACCCGCUCUGCCUUCCUAUGCCCAGCUGCUGGGAUCAGAGGCCUGGGCCACCACGGUCUCUUCUUUAACGUUUCUAUUUUCUUAUCUUUAGGUAUGCCCCUUAUAGCACAAUAUUUUAUUAGAAUGUAUGUAUUAGUUAUAGAACUACCAAUAGGCCUGGAUGUAGUGGCGUAUGCCUUUAAGCCCAGCACUCUGGAGGCACACAGGCAGGCAGAUCUGAGUUAGAGCCCAUCCUGGCCUGCACAGUGAGAUCCUGUCUCAAAGCUAAACAAACGAAAAAUAGUAAGGCUGGCACUAGAAGAUUUUUUUUUAGUAGCCUGGAGACCAAUGUUCAGACCAAAGGUUGAUCAACGAGGGCCCUCAGACUAUGGUCUUGUAUUUGGCCACACCCACUAACUUACAAAGGCCAAUGGCAGAGUGCAAUAGUUUACCUGGAAAGCCACACUGCCCUGACACACAAAGUUGGCUGGCCCUACAGCUAGACCUGCACUCCCCAGAGGAGGUUAUUAAAUAACAAGUCAUACAAGAACCCUCUAAGGGGAAGGGAGAAAGAUUUGUGCAAAGGUAUAAUGACACGUGAAUGGACUUAAAAGUAAUUAAAUAUUUUUUUUCUCACUAGGUGUGGUGCACACCUUUGGUUCCAAUACUUGGGAGGCAGAGGCAAGUGGAUCCCUGAGUUUGAGGCUAGCCUGGUCUACAGGGCAUGGUGGUGUAUGUCCAGUAUGUCUAUCCAUCCAGCACACAGAAAGCUGAGGCAGGAGGAUUAAGGUUUCCUUGCCGGACUGGGCUAUAGAGAAACCCAAUCUCAAAGAAACAGAGAUCCUCUUUUAAAAAAACAAAAACAUCCACACCAUGGUCCUGUCUGUCUGAAAUGUCCCUUUCAAGAAGCACAUUAAAAGACGCUCAGAUGUUUCGUCCCAGAAA